rnacentral:lncRNA from 1 species
AGCUCAUUUGCUCAUCAGCACGCAGUUAGACAGCCUCUACUGUGUAGAGAACUAAACCGAGGCUCAGAAAGGAUAGCCAGGGUCACACGGAAAGUAAGGUAGACUUCCGGUUUCAAUGAAAGCCUUUGCUCCUAUUGCAGUGCUUCUAAUCAAUAUUCCUAAUGGUCUCUCCUCCGCCACAGCUCCUGGUACCGUGCUUUUCAGACAGCAGACAAAAGAAAAUCUGAGCAGAAGUUUGAUUCACCAUCUGGAAGGGCACUAACUUUCGCAGACAACUCUUAGGAUGGAAGAACGCUUCUCAAAUCUUCAGGGUGUGGUGAAAACAGGAUGUGCUAGCGCCAGCUCAGCUAGUGCUGAGGCGUGAGUGCGCUGGGCGACGGGACCCAGCGAGUGGUCACGCCAGGUGGGCUCCAACACCGCCCAGCGGCUUCGGGGCAACCCGAACUCGGCCUUCAGUACCCAGGGCGGUAGGGGCGCGGGCGGCUGAGACUGCUAGACCGGGAGGGCCGCGCGUUGGGGCGGGCCGCGCGUGACGCACUUCCGUCCUACGUCUUCCGGCUUAAAGGGGACCUAGAUUUUCCUCAUAACAACAACAAAACCGGCGCGCUCGCGCCGGGCGCCGCGGCUUCUAGUCCCCGCCCUCCUGCCACCUGCAGCCGCUCGGCCGCGCCCGGCCCUGCGCUACCGCGCUGCUGUGUCCUGCCGGAGGGGGCAGGCGGAGAGCGGGCCGCGCCCUUUGGCCAACUUCUCCAGCGGCCACUGCGCCGCCUCGCGAGACCGGGGCCGUGCCGUGGCCGCCGCCGAGCAGCAGGAAGGGAGCGGCCGCUGCGGAGGACGCCCGGCAGGACUGUGCUGCCGGCGGCCCUGCCUGGGCGCGGAGGGCGACGGUGGCGGGUCCUGCGGCCUUCUUUCAGUCCGGAGCCCGGCGGAGCCCGCAUCUGGCGGGGGAAGCUGCACCCACGGCCGGGCCCCCAGAUCCCGCCGCCGCCGCCACUGUCCAUCAUCCUUGGUACCGGCAAUGGCCUUUGUAUCGCCCGAUGCACUUGUGACUGACUUGGACACGGAAUUUUAAGAAGCUACUUGCCGCCCUCCCGGUACCAGUCGAGCCGGCAGUUACAACCUCGGCUAUUUGGGCUUAAGUACUGCUCUUCUUGACUCUCUUCAACUUUGGGGGCACCAUGGACCAAAGUGGGAUGGAGAGUCCUGUGACCCUCAUCAUUAAAGCACCGAAUCAGAAAUACAGUGAUCAGACAAUUAGCUGCUUCUUGAACUGGACCGUGGGGAAACUAAAAUCGCAUCUGUCUAACGUGUACCCUAGCAAACCAGUAAGUGUCUAAAAGCUGGGCGCAGCUGCUCUGGCCAGCACCUUUUCGUGCCACGCACUCCCGUCUCUCUGUUAAUUCCCUCCCCUCUUGAAUCAAGUAGGUCUCUUGCUAGACUACAAAGUAUUUUGAGUUCCGAAGUGUUUGUGUGUCCCUUGAGUGUUUCCCAACCAUCAUUAAUAUCUUCCUCCUGAGGUUCAGUUAAUUAGCAAGAGUACUGGGUACAAAGAUAUCAAAGGACAUAAUAAUUGACAGGCAUAAAAAAAGGACCAUUUUCAUUGGACAGAAGUCAUUGGCCGAAUAUAGGAGUGACAGAUGGACCCUAAAAAAAAGAAAAGAUAAACACUGCAACCCAUAUAAAAGCUUUUAGUGCUUUGUUAGGCGUUUAGACUUCUAGAACUACAGAAAUA